GCGCGCGCACACACACACACAUAUGUGUGUGUGUGUGUGUAUAUAUAUAUAUAUAUGUAUGUGUGUUUGUGUGUGUGUCUGUGUGUCUAGUAGGGUCUUAUUUAUAAGUGUGUUGUGUAACACAUUUUAUAAAAAAGAAGGUACAAGGCAUUUAGGAUUUAUUUUCUUUCUUUCUUUCCCAAACCGUGCCAUAGAGUUGAGUCAUAGGAAGUUGAGCCCGACUUGCAUUGAUAUAUAUUGUACAAAGAUGCCUAGGUCAUAGAAGUUUAAUUCUAACCUGUAUUUUAUUAUGUGUUUAUAGAAAUGCCGAUAGGUAAAAAAAUGAUAGGGAAUAAUCAUGCUACAAAUGAGGGGCCUAGUUGUAGAGCACCAGUAGGUGGGAGUCAUACUGAGACCCAGCAUGGGUCGACAUCUCAGGUUCCCCCUGACUUCAUUAGCCCAAUAGGAGCUUGGAGGAGCUUCUGUACCUCCAAUACCCUCAGCAUCCUCAUCUGGUGCAUCUGAGCAAAAAUUGUGGAAAGUAGUACAGUUAUUAACCCAGAUAGUAGCCACACAAGCACAACGACAGGUGUUUCACCCUAUUUUGCACAUGUCAAAAUAAAAUACAACUAAUGGUUCUUUAGAAGUUUAAAAAGAGAAUCGCCAUCUAAUAUCUAAAAUAUAUUAGGUUACCUAUAAGUUUAUAAAAUUAUUAUCCUAAUGGUCUACUAACCGGUGAGACUUGGGUAAGAGUUGUAGUUAUUCUAAGGGAAAGGUAUUAGGCGUCCCUUUAAAUCUACCCGAGAUAGCUCCUUAAACUUAAGCUAGGUUUGGGGAAAGAAAAGUCUAUAUUCUAUUUGAAAGAAAAGUAUAUAUUCUAUUUGAUUGGCGGUUAAAGUUGAUAAAUAAGAUUUAUCCAAAAAAAAGUCUAAGUCUUGCUUGAAAACUCUUUGUUUUGGAAAAAGGUUGUGCAUUUAUCUUGACAAAAUGAUGUUAUUUGUAAGCUUUUAUAACUCAAAGAAACAAGAGGUUACUUCUAAAAUAUUCCUUAGGUUGAAAUAGGUUAUACCUUGUUUGUUUUCACGAAAAUGAUUCUAGCAAAAUGACUUGUGUUUCAAAUUCAUUUGUUGUCUCUGGUAAGUCUGACCUUAUAUGUUUUGUUUUAUCUUCUGAAAUGGUUGUGUAUUCCUUGUAAUUUGUUUUGAAGGUUUUCUGAGAAGAUUUUGAUUUUGAUUUUCUCUUUUGAAUCUGCCAAAGCUUGAAAUCACUGAAGUUGUUAGUAGUAUCAUAAGUAAAACUAUUUGUUUAUUGAAAAGAUUACUCUCAAAUUAUUAAGGCUUGAGCGUUAAAGUAAUUAAAGCGACUAAAUUUCUAAUUUAAUUUUUAGCUACAAGUCUUGGUUUGUCUAUGUUUCUUAACAAACAAAAUAUAAAACAACAACCAAUAACAAGGUUAGUUUCCAAAGAUAUAUACACAGAAUAGUAAACAAUAAUAUUUAUCGUCUAAAAAAUGAGAGGAAAGAAGGGAUGGACUCUCGAUAUUGGGCCAACAGGUAGUCAAGCCCACCAGAAUUCACACAAGUAGCAGACUCUAACGAACAAGAAAAAGAAGUAAUUCGAGUCUAGAAGUUGGGCCUGGGCUCCAAGUAGACUCAGCAGGCCCAAUUUGAACAUUCAUGGUAAAAAUAAAAAGGAAAUAAUAAGUACAUAUCCACAUUAGAUGAAAAAUAUAUUAUGGAAAGUAAGUAAUGAUCUGAAUACGAUUUUAGUUUUCAUUUUAUGCCAACCCUAUGAAGAGUAGUUAAGGUCAAUGACCAAAGACUUAGGGUGAUCAUGUCUCAUUUAUGAGAUUCCCCUGUGGACCCCUGACACUUCAAAGUUCAUGAGGGUUUCAUGGACUCGGAGCAGUACUUGUGCCAGGGAGGGGUGCCUCAAUCACAAAAAAGGGUUCACACCCAAGUACCUUUAGUAAUUGACUAUUUACUCCUCCUCAAAAGUUUAGACAUAAAUGAAUGUCAACAUAACAGUCAGUAUGAAAGCAACAAGUACAGAAGGUUCAUGAUAAGCCUUUCAGAGGUUCAAACAUACAGAAAGUCCAACAACUUUAGAACACAUAGACUCAUUUGACCUUGAAAUUAUUAUUAAAGACAUGAGCAGAUCAAAACCAACAUAAUAUUGAUCUUAGAACAUGUUGUCAGAACACUAAUACAAAGAUAGAUCACUACAAACAGAUUUAUAGGGUUCCAAUGACAUUAAAGACCUUAAGGUUGAUCCUAGGAUGUAUCAGAAAACUUAAGUGGAUCAUUACUAAGAUGCAGUCAUAGAACAAAGAGAGGUAGUUUCAUAUUAUAAAUAGGUAGGUGAUAACUCUAAUAACUUACAAUUCAGGAAUGCCUUGGCUUUGUUAAUUCUAUUGAAGGUUCAGUAUUUUAGGAUCUUUAAAUAGAUUCUUAACACUUAGAACAGGUCAACAGACAUUUUGGUAAUCUUGAGAAUAAUCCAGAGCAAGUAUACACAUAGCUGAGACCUUACCUCACUAAACACCUGCACUAACAACUUUGUUCAAACUUCCUAAAAAUGAUAGCAAACAACAGAGAUAUCAAUGUAAAUAGAAAAGUCAGUUUUAACUUUGUUUAGACCUAAUGGCAUGAUAUCUAGUAGUAACAAUGUAUAGUUUAAAAGGUUUUCAAACUACCAGAUCCAAAUAGCACUCCAGUUCAUGAUCAGAUUCUUCUAUACAUAAUGGUAUCAUAUAGACAUGGAGCAGUAGGUAGAGAUGUCCAUUCUUAGUUGGUUAAGACAAGACAAACAUACCAUAGUAACUUCAUUUAAACAGGUAAGUGAAUUCAUUAUAAGAAAUCUCAUUCCAUUAAAAUAACAUGGAAACAUGAUCAAGUAUGGAGUUACUUAAACAAAGCAGAUUAACAUAAGAAAUAGGAGCAAGUCCCUUAAUGAAGAUCAUUCAUUUGAGUACAACACAACAUUGUGGGAGGGUCAAGAUUGCACAUGGCUGUAAGUGUAAAACCUUAGCAGGCAACACAAUGAUUAAAGUAUACAGUUUCCUCAAGAUAAAGGCAUAGAAAGGGUUCAUGAACAUAACUGGACCAACAAGAGCAACAAAACAUAUAUAAACACAAGUACAUGUGUCAAUGAGAGCCAUUCAAUUAAUACAACAGUAAAGGUUUAGGCAUACACUAUUACAGAGUUCAAACAGUCAUGAAAUAUUAACACUCAUCACAGGUAAAAUCCCAAAUUGUAUCCAGAUUGAGAGCAGGUUUUAUAAUGUACUAACAAGUCUAACCAUAUGGUUUUCUUUGUUUUAAAUCAACAUAAAAAAUACACAGAAAUUAUUUUGUCUGAGUAACAUGAACAAACUGCAAAUUAGAGUCAAGCAAAUUAAUAUGAGGGUAAGAAUAAUGGUGAAAAUCAUUUUGUUGGGAAUGAAACAAAGCAGUAUUACAUCACAAUCAUCAAGAUGGCACAAUGUAGCAAAUAUUAGCAGAACUUUCAAGAGAAGUGAAAAUCCUGAUUUGUUCUACUUUGGUCAUCAUGAUGAUAUACAUAUAACCAUUAUUUAAUUAAUAGAAAAAGAUCACACAUAAUACUAUCAACACAAGACUUAAUUCAGUUAAUCAUGAAAGCUUAACAUGAUUUAAGAGUAACAACAGUACAGACACAUUUUCAAUUAGCUACGUCAUAGGAGAUGGAAUUCACCAAUAACACAGAUUUGAUAACAAUACCAAGAUAGCAUAACUCAUCAGGGAAUCACUAACUUGGAAGUGGAAUGACACCAAAGUAGAACAUAACAAGUAUAGUCAUAUACCACUGAUAUAUAUCAUAAAUAAAAGGUUAUUAACAUGGAAAACAUCAUAAACACAAAAUUACUCGAUUAAUCAAAGAUAGAGAAAGGGUUAGUGUACAUUGACCUUUUGUAGAGCAUAAAAUCAAGUAGGAGUCAAUUAAUAGCUGUUUAGAGACCCAAACAUGGACCUUUUAUAGAGCAGAAAACCAAGUAGGAGUCGAUUAAUAGCCAUUUAGGGACCCAAAACCAACAACGAUCAGCUUAUAGAUGGUUGAACUCGAACAAAAAUGAAAGAAGAAAAGGGAAAUUAGAGAAGAGCUACUGGAAUUUAACCUUAGUAGAAAACUUGAGCUUUUAAUGUUCUUCUUUACUUUCAGUAUGUUUUUCGGUGAUAUUAGCUGUGUUCGUGUCUGUUAGGUGAGAAUAUUUAAGACCCUAUUUAUAGUGUCCUUCACGCCUUAGAGCUCCGAUUGAAUCCAAAUU
rnacentral:lncRNA from 1 species